rnacentral:rRNA from 1 species
GAUGAACGCUGGCGGCGUGCCUAAUACAUGCAAGUCGAGCGAAUGGAUUAAGAGCUUGCUCUUAUGAAGUUAGCGGCGGACGGGCGAGUAACACGUGGGUAACCUGCCCAUAAGACUGGGAUAACUCCGGGAAACCGGGGCUAAUACCGGAUAACAUUUUGAACCGCAUGGUUCGAAAUUGAAAGGCGGCUUCGGCUGUCACUUAUGGGUGGACCCGCGUCGCAUUAGCUAGUUGGUGAGGUAACGGCGCACCAAGGCAACGAUGCGUAGCCGACCUGAGAGGGUGGUCGGCCACACUGGGACUGAGACACGGCCCAGACUCCUACGGGAGGCAGCAGUAGGGAAUCUUCCGCAAUGGACGAAAGUCUGACGGAGCAACGCCGCGUGAGUGAUGAAGGCUUUCGGGUCGUAAAACUCUGUUGUUAGGGAAGAACAAGUGCUAGUUGAAUAGGCUGGCACCUUGACGGUACCUAACCAGAAAGCCACGGCUAACUACGUGCCAGCCGCCGCUGUAA